rnacentral:tRNA from 1 species
AUUUAUAUAGUUUAAAUAAAACAUUACAUUUUCACUGUAAAAAUAAUAAACCUUAUUUAUAAAUA